GACGAACGCUGGCGGCGUGCUUAACACAUGCAAGUCGAGCGGUAAGGCCCUUUCGGGGGUACACGAGCGGCGAACGGGUGAGUAACACGUGGGUGACCUGCCCUCAGCUCUGGGAUAAGCCUGGGAAACCGGGUCUAAUACUGGAUAUGACUCCAUGACGCAUGUUGUGGGGUGGAAAGCCUUGUGCGGCUGAGGAUGGGCCCGCGGCCUAUCAGCUUGUUGGUGGGGUGANGGCCUACCGAAGGCGACGACGGGUAGCCGGCCUGAGAGGGCGACCGGCCACACUGGGACUGAGACACGGCCCAGACUCCUACGGGAGGCAGCAGGUGGGGAAUCUUGCGCAAUGGGCGAAAGCCUGACGCAGCGACGCCGCGUGAGGAUGAC
rnacentral:rRNA from 1 species